rnacentral:rRNA from 1 species
CGAGGAAAGAAAUAACAAGGAUUCCCUUAGUAACGGCGAGUGAACCGGGAAGAGCUCAAAUUUGAAAUCUGGCGUGCUCAGUGCGUCCGAGUUGUAAUCUAUAGAGGCGUUUUCCGUGCCGGACUGUGUCUAAGUCCCUUGGAACAGGGUAUCAAAGAGGGUGAUAAUCCCGUACUUGACACAAUGACCGGUGCUCUGUGAUACGUCUUCUACGAGUCGAGUUGUUUGGGAAUGCAGCUCAAAAUGGGUGGUGAGUUCCAUCUAAAGCUAAAUAUUGGCGAGAGACCGAUAGCGAACAAGUACCGUGAGGGAAAGAUGAAAAGCACUUUGGAAAGAGAGUUAAACAGUACGUGAAAUUGUUGAAAGGGAAACGAUUGAAGUCAGUCGUGACUGAGAGGCUCAGCCGGUUCUGCCGGUGUAUUCCCCUCAGUCGGGUCAACAUCAGUUUUGUUCGGUGGAUAAGGGCAGCUGGAAGGUGGCACCUCCGGGUGUGUUAUAGCCAGCUGUCGCAUACAUCGAAUGAGACUGAGGAAUGCAGCUCGCCUUUAUGGCCGGGGUUCGCCCACGUCCGAGCUUAGGAUGUUGACUAAUAGUA